rnacentral:rRNA from 1 species
UACGUAGGGUGCAAGCGUUAAUCGGAAUUACUGGGCGUAAAGCGCACGUAGGCGGCUUUCUAAGUCAGGGGUGAAAUCCUGGAGCUCAACUCCAGAACUGCCUUUGAUACUGGAGAGCUUGAGUCCGGGAGAGGUGAGUGGAACUCCGAGUGUAGAGGUGAAAUUCGUAGAUAUUCGGAAGAACACCAGUGGCGAAGGCGGCCCACUGGCCCGGUACUGACGCUGAUGUGCGAAAGCGUGGGGAGCAAACAGG